CUACGGGCGGCUCCAGUGAGGAAUAUUGCACAAUGGGGGGAACCCUGAUGCAGCAACGCCGCGUGGAGGAUGACGCAUUUCGGUGUGUCAACUCCUUUUAUAUGUCAAGAAAAUGACGGUAGCAUAUGAAUAAGCACCGGCUAACUCCGUGCCAGCAGCCGCGGUAAUACGGAGGGUGCAAGCGUUACUCGGAAUCACUGGGCGUAAAGGACGCGUAGGCGGGUUGGAAAGUCAGGUGUGAAAUCCUACAGCUUAACUGUAGAGCUGCCCUUGAAACUUCUAAUCUAGAGUAUGGGAGGGGGAGAUGGAAUUAGUGGUGUAGGGGUAAAAUCCGUAGAUAUCACUAGGAAUACCUAAAGCGAAGGCGAUCUCCUGGAACAUUACUGACGCUAAGGCGUGAAAGCGUGGGGAGCAAACAGGAUUAGAUACCCCCGUAGUC
rnacentral:rRNA from 1 species